CUGGAAACAGAUGCUAAUACCGGAUAACAACACUAGACGCAUGUCUAGAGUUUGAAAGAUGGUUCUGCUAUCACUCUUGGAUGGACCUGCGGUGCAUUAGCUAGUUGGUAAGGUAAUGGCUUACCAAGGCGAUGAUGCAUAGCCGAGUUGAGAGACUGAUCGGCCACAUUGGGACUGAGACACGGCCCAAACUCNUACGGGAGGCAGCAGUAGGGAAUCUUCCACAAUGGACGAAAGUCUGAUGGAGCAACGCCGCGUGAGUGAAGAAGGGUUUCGGCUCGUAAAGCUCUGUUGGUAGUGAAGAAAGAUAGAGGUAGUAACUGGCCUUUAUUUGACGGUAAUUACUUAGAAAGUCACGGCUAACUACGUGCCAGCAGCCGCGGUAAUACGUAGGUGGCAAGCGUUGUCCGGAUUUAUUGGGCGUAAAGCGAGUGCAGGCGGUUCAAUAAGUCUGAUGUGAAAGCCUUCGGCUCAACCGGAGAAUUGCAUCAGAAACUGUUGAACUUGAGUGCAGAAGAGGAGAGUGGAACUCCAUGUGUAGCGGUGGAAUGCGUAGAUAUAUGGAAGAACACCAGUGGCGAAGGCGGCUCUCUGGUCUGCAACUGACGCUGAGG
rnacentral:rRNA from 1 species